CCUGGCUGUUCUUAUACUAUUUUGUCUCUCCAUGUGCUGUUGUUUUGAGAAAGGAAAACUCCAUAACCACACAUACUACUUUACUAAUUUAUGGUACCAAGACUGCUAUGGUCGCAUCCUAUAUAAAGUAGUCCAUCCAUUUUAAGAAUAGGUUCUCACCAGAUGCCUGCUGGUAGAAUCUCUUGUCACUGAGCUAAACCUGGCUGUGAAGGACUAUAA